AGAGUUUGAUCCUGGCUCAGGAUGAACGCUGGCGGCGUGCCUAAUACAUGCAAGUCGAGCGAACGGACGAGAAGCUUGCUUCUCUGAUGUUAGCGGCGGACGGGUGAGUAACACGUGGAUAACCUACCUAUAAGACUGGGAUAACUUCGGGAAACCGGAGCUAAUACCGGAUAAUAUUUUGAACCGCAUGGUUCAAAAGUGAAAGACGGUCUUGCUGUCACUUAUAGAUGGAUCCGCGCUGCAUUAGCUAGUUGGUAAGGUAACGGCUUACCAAGGCAACGAUGCAUAGCCGACCUGAGAGGGUGAUCGGCCACACUGGAACUGAGACACGGUCCAGACUCCUACGGGAGGCAGCAGUAGGGAAUCUUCCGCAAUGGGCGAAAGCCUGACGGAGCAACGCCGCGUGAGUGAUGAAGGUCUUCGGAUCGUAAAACUCUGUUAUUAGGGAAGAACAUAUGUGUAAGUAACUGUGCACAUCUUGACGGUACCUAAUCAGAAAGCCACGGCUAACUACGUGCCAGCAGCCGCGGUAAUACGUAGGUGGCAAGCGUUAUCCGGAAUUAUUGGGCGUAAAGCGCGCGUAGGCGGUUUUUUAAGUCUGAUGUGAAAGCCCACGGCUCAACCGUGGAGGGUCAUUGGAAACUGGAAAACUUGAGUGCAGAAGAGGAAAGUGGAAUUCCAUGUGUAGCGGUGAAAUGCGCAGAGAUAUGGAGGAACACCAGUGGCGAAGGCGACUUUCUGGUCUGUAACUGACGCUGAUGUGCGAAAGCGUGGGGAUCAAACAGGAUUAGAUACCCUGGUAGUCCACGCCGUAAACGAUGAGUGCUAAGUGUUAGGGGGUUUCCGCCCCUUAGUGCUGCAGCUAACGCAUUAAGCACUCCGCCUGGGGAGUACGACCGCAAGGUUGAAACUCAAAGGAAUUGACGGGGACCCGCACAAGCGGUGGAGCAUGUGGUUUAAUUCGAAGCAACGCGAAGAACCUUACCAAAUCUUGACAUCCUUUGACAACUCUAGAGAUAGAGCNUUCCCCUUCGGGGGACAAAGUGACAGGUGGUGCAUGGUUGUCGUCAGCUCGUGUCGUGAGAUGUUGGGUUAAGUCCCGCAACGAGCGCAACCCUUAAGCUUAGUUGCCAUCAUUAAGUUGGGCACUCUAAGUUGACUGCCGGUGACAAACCGGAGGAAGGUGGGGAUGACGUCAAAUCAUCAUGCCCCUUAUGAUUUGGGCUACACACGUGCUACAAUGGACAAUACAAAGGGCAGCGAAACCGCGAGGUCAAGCAAAUCCCAUAAAGUUGUUCUCAGUUCGGAUUGUAGUCUGCAACUCGACUACAUGAAGCUGGAAUCGCUAGUAAUCGUAGAUCAGCAUGCUACGGUGAAUACGUUCCCGGGUCUUGUACACACCGCCCGUCACACCACGAGAGUUUGUAACACCCGAAGCCGGUGGAGUAACCUUUUAGGAGCUAGCCGUCGAAGGUGGGACAAAUGAUUGGGGUGAAGUCGUAACAAGGUAGCCGUAUCGGAAGGUGCGGCUGGAUCACCU
rnacentral:rRNA from 2 species